CCUACGGGAGGCUGCAGUGGGGAAUAUUGCACAAUGGGGGAAACCCUGAUGCAGCGACGCCGCGUGAGUGAAGAAGUAUUUCGGUACGUAAAGCUCUAUCAGCAGGGAAGAAAAUGACGGUACCUGACUAAGAAGCCCCGGCUAACUACGUGCCAGCAGCCGCGGUAAUACGUAGGGGGCAAGCGUUAUCCGGAUUUACUGGGUGUAAAGGGAGCGUAGACGGCCAGACAAGUCAGAAGUGAAAGCCCAGGGCUCAACCCUGGGACUGCUUUUGAAACUGCCGGGCUGGAGUGCAGGAGAGGUAAGCGGAAUUCCUAGUGUAGCGGUGAAAUGCGUAGAUAUUAGGAGGAACACCAGUGGCGAAGGCGGCUUACUGGACUGUAACUGACGUUGAGGCUCGAAAGCGUGGGGAGCAAACAGGAUUAGAUACCCUUGUAGUC
rnacentral:rRNA from 1 species